rnacentral:rRNA from 1 species
AGUCUGGUGCCAGCAGCCGCGGUAAUACGGGGGAUGCAAGCGUUAUCCGGAAUCAUUGGGCGUAAAGCGCCUGUAGGUUGUUUAAUAAGUCCGUUGUUAAAGCCUAGGUCUUAACCCUAGAAAAGCAAUGGAAACUAUUAGACUAGAGUAUGGUAGGGGUAGAGGGAAUUUCUAGUGUAGCGGUGAAAUGCGUAGAUAUUAGAAAGAACACCGGUGGCGAAAGCGCUCUACUGGACCAUUACUGACACUCAGAGGCGAAAGCUAGGGUAGCAAAAGGGAUUAGAUACCCCUGUAGUCCUAGCCGUAAACGAUGGAUACUAGAUGUUGUGCAUUAAGGACAGUAUCGUAGCUAACGCGUUAAGUAUCCCGCCUGGGGAGUACGCUCGCAAGGGUGAAACUCAAAGGAAUUGACGGGGGCCCGCACAAGCGGUGGAGCAUGUGGUUUAAUUCGAUGCAACGCGAAGAACCUUACCAGGGCUUGACAUACUACGAAUCUUUUUGAGAAAAAAGAGUGCCUUCGGGAAUGUAGAUACAGGUGGUGCAUGGCCGUUCUUA